GUGAUCACUGGGAAAGUUUCAUGUGAUGGGUUUUUGCCGGAAUUACCUAGCUACCGGCUUCCGGGAAGAUUUUCCGUCCGUCCGGCUCCGCGGACUCAAGGAGAAAAAGGACAGACUGUUCCUCUGUGUAACCACACUAAGGACCUAAAAGAUUCAUAAAUAUUUGUACACAGGUCCACAUCCGCCUCCCCAUGCAGAACUCCAU